rnacentral:lncRNA from 1 species
GAGUUGACGUUGUUGCAGCUGGUUGAUAAAGUAUUAUGGCUCUCAAAAGGGAUGGUUCAGCUAAAUUUUAGUAUAUCUAAAUCUAUCAAAACAAUCACCAAUUCAUUGUUUUUCACUUACUUGAUUAGGAUAUAUACGGAUGAGUACCUUAAGGUUUAUAAAAUUAUAGAGAGAUAGAGUUUAGUUUAGAGAGUAUUGUUAAACGAUUUUAUAUAAU